rnacentral:sRNA from 1 species
UACAGACAUUGCAUUGUGUGGCAGUACAAGCACAGUGUACAACAUGGCUACAGCUUCUUCUCUUCUUUCUCCGGUUCCUUCUUCUCUUUCCCUUCAUUCGGCGUCUCUUUUCUCGAAUUGGCAGAAUCCCAGAGGAAACUACAGUCAACAUCGGAAUUUGGGAUUUACAUCUUCCCUCGGUCUCUUCGAUCUCCCCAUAUCGUACCCUGCACCAACCGGCCUGAUUCUUCGUCAGUACUUGUUACGGCUGUACAUAGUAAUAAAAGAUCGUACAGGGAGCAUAGCCAGAAUCUUUUCCCCUUAUUAGGUCCAGGCUUCAUUACAACUAAUGUAUCGCGUCA